UUUGUCUGUCAAUUGUUGCUUUACUUCCUUUGUAAAAUGAGGUUAAAUUGAGUAUCACUGAAUAUUGUAUGCUUUUUUUCAGGAUCAGCUAAGAUGUUGUUUCACUGGAUUAUUUAAUUGGGCAUAUAAUUGGAUAAUUCUGUCCUCAACAUGGAAGUUAUGUUUUAUUCCUAACCAUCUAUAAUCCAUUCUCUAUGAAGUUCAGCCUGUCUGCCCUUCCUUUGGAAAUACACAGUUAGUCAACCAACAUAGAAACACACAAACUUGAAGGGAAAGAAUACUAUAAUGUGGAUCCUGGGGAUCAACAGUGAAACAUCUUAAUGACCCUCAUGACUAGGUCUUCAGGCUGUAACCUUUAUUGCUGAUGUAAGAUGAUCUGUUUGCAUAGCAUUAAAAUUUCCUGGUGUUUCUACCAUCCAGGAUCUUCUUAUGAGUGCAUGGGGACUGCUGUGGACCUUAACCUGUUUAUAAAAAUAUACCUUGGAGCAUGACCCUUUAUUCAUAGAAGGAUUCUCAAUGGGGAACUCAGUAAAUUAUGCACAGACUAACAGAAUAUACUCUCUUGGAACACUGAUACAAGAAUAUAAAACCAGAGAUGGAUGGAGGAUUUAAGAAGCACAUGAAUAAAUAUGAUUUUCAAACUAAGUCAAUCAUGAUGAUCAUGAAUUGUGGUUCACAGGAUGACAGAGAAAGGACCCAGGAUAGUGCAUUUUUCUAGAUCCUCUCCCAUUCAUAUCCUUCAUAUGCUGGCAUACAAAACAAUAGAUAAAUUGUAGUCAUUUAACAGACUGAAGUUUAAUCAAAUCAAAGUAUUGAAAAUGUGUUUUUCUGAUAGUAUGAGAUCUUCAAAAAAAAUAAUUCUCACAGAUUUCAAAGUAUAUAAAUAUAACUUUUAAUUUAUGUAGUCCAAAUUGAAUACAGUUGUUAUGUAUGACUUUUAUACAUUGAAUCCUUAAUUUUUCAUCUUAUAUCUACAACACCCCUAGAAAAUACACAGAUAUUCAGAAGCUA